CCCCUAAGUGGGGAAUAACCUCGGGAAACCGAGGCUAAUACCGCAUGUUGUGGUGGAGGUAAGGCUUCAUCACCAAAGCCUUUGGGCGCUUGGGGAGGGGCUUGCGUCCGAUUAGCUAGUUGGUAGGGUAAUGGCUUACCAAGGCGAUGAUCGGUAGCUGGUCUGAGAGGAUGGUCAGCCACACUGGGACUGAGAUACGGCCCAGACUCCUACGGGAGGCAGCAGCAAGGAAUUUUGUGCAAUGGGCGAAAGCCUGACACAGCAACGCCGCGUGGGGGAUGAAGGCCUUCGGGUUGUAAACCCCUUUUCUCAGGGAAGAAUAAUGACGGUACCUGGGGAAUAAGCCUUGGCUAACUACGUGCCAGCAGCCGCGGUAAUACGUAGGAGGCAAGCGUUAUCCGGAUUUACUGGGCGUAAAGAGGGCGUAGGCGGCCUUUCAAGUCGGAUGUGAAAUCUCCCGGCUUAACCGGGAGGGGUCAUCCGAUACUGCUGGGCUAGAGGGCAGCAAGGGGAGGUGGAAUUCCCGGUGUAGUGGUGAUAUGCGUAGAUAUCGGGAGGAACACCAGUGGCGAAGGCGGCCUCCUGGGCUGUUUCUGACGCUGAGGCCCGAAAGUGUGGGGAGCGAACAGGAUUAGAUACCCUGGUAGUCCACACUGUAAACGAUGGACACUAGGUAUAGGGAGUAUCGACCCUCUCUGUGUCGAAGCUAACGCUUUAAGU
rnacentral:rRNA from 1 species